rnacentral:rRNA from 1 species
GAUGAACGCUGGCGGCGUGCCUAAUACAUGCAAGUCGAACGCGCAGCGAAAGGUGCUUGCACCUUUCAAGCGAGUGGCGAACGGGUGAGUAACACGUGGAUAACCUGCCUCAAGGCUGGGGAUAACAUUUGGAAACAGAUGCUAAUACCGAAUAAAACUUUGUAUCGCAUGAUACAAAGUUGAAAGGCGCUACGGCGUCACCUAGAGAUGGGUCCGCGGUGCAUUAGUUAGUUGGUGGGGUAAAGGCCUACCAAGACAAUGAUGCAUAGCCGAGUUGAGAGACUGAUCGGCCACAUUGGGACUGAGACACGGCCCAAACUCCUACGGGAGGCUGCAGUAGGGAAUCUUCCACAAUGGGCGAAAGCCUGAUGGAGCAACGCCGCGUGUGUGAUGAAGGCUUUAGGGUCGUAAAGCACUGUUGUAUGGGAAGAAAUGCUAGAAUAGGGAAUGAUUCUAGUUCGACGGUACCAUACCAGAAAGGGACGGCUAAAUAC